rnacentral:rRNA from 1 species
UACGUAGGUGGCAAGCGUUGUCCGGAUUUAUUGGGCGUAAAGAGCUCGUAGGCGGCUAAGUAAGUCGGGUGUGAAAACUCCAGGCUCAACCUGGAGACGCCACCCGAUACUGCUUUGGCUAGAGUCCGGUAGGGGAGCAUGGAAUUCCUGGUGUAGCGGUGAAAUGCGCAGAUAUCAGGAGGAACACCAGUGGCGAAGGCGGUGCUCUGGGCCGGAACUGACGCUGAGGAGCGAAAGCGUGGGGAGCAAACAGG